rnacentral:rRNA from 1 species
GCUUAACACAUGCAAGUCGAGGGGCAGCAUUUUAGUUUGCUUGCAAACUAAAGAUGGCGACCGGCGCACGGGUGAGUAACACGUAUCCAACCUGCCGAUAACUCGGGGAUAGCCUUUCGAAAGAAAGAUUAAUAUCCGAUAGUAUAUUAAAACCGCAUGGUUUUACUAUUAAAGAAUUUCGGUUAUCGAUGGGGAUGCGUUCCAUUAGUUUGUUGGCGGGGUAACGGCCCACCAAGACAACGAUGGAUAGGGGUUCUGAGAGGAAGGUCCCCCACAUUGGAACUGAGACACGGUCCAAACUCCUACGGGAGGCAGCAGUGAGGAAUAUUGGUCAAUGGACGAGAGUCUGAACCAGCCAAGUAGCGUGAAGGAUGACUGCCCUAUGGGUUGUAAACUUCUUUUAUAUGGGAAUAAAGUAUUCCACGUGUGGAAUUUUGUAUGUACCAUAUGAAUAAGGAUCGGCUAACUCCGUGCCAGCAGCCGCGGUAAUACGGAGGAUCCGAGCGUUAUCCGGAUUUAUUGGGUUUAAAGGGAGCGUAGGUGGAUUGUUAAGUCAGUUGUGAAAGUUUGCGGCUCAACCGUAAAAUUGCAGUUGAAACUGGCAGUCUUGAGUACAGUAGAGGUGGGCGGAAUUCGUGGUGUAGCGGUGAAAUGCUUAGAUAUCACGAAGAACUCCGAUUGCGAAGGCAGCUCACUAGACUGCAACUGACACUGAUGCUCGAAAGUGUGGGUAUCAAACAGGAUUAGAUACCCUGGUAGUCCACACAGUAAACGAUGAAUACUCGCUGUUUGCGAUAUACAGUAAGCGGCCAAGCGAAAGCAUUAAGUAUUCCACCUGGGGAGUACGCCGGCAACGGUGAAACUCAAAGGAAUUGACGGGGGCCCGCACAAGCGGAGGAACAUGUGGUUUAAUUCGAUGAUACGCGAGGAACCUUACCCGGGCUUAAAUUGCAUUUGAAUAAUCUGGAAACAGGUUAGCCGCAAGGCAAAUGUGAAGGUGCUGCAUGGUUGUCGUCAGCUCGUGCCGUGAGGUGUCGGCUUAAGUGCCAUAACGAGCGCAACCCUUAUCUUUAGUUACUAACAGGUCAUGCUGAGGACUCUAGAGAGACUGCCGUCGUAAGAUGUGAGGAAGGUGGGGAUGACGUCAAAUCAGCACGGCCCUUACGUCCGGGGCUACACACGUGUUACAAUGGGGGGUACAGAAGGCAGCUACCUGGCGACAGGAUGCUAAUCCCAAAAACCUCUCUCAGUUCGGAUCGAAGUCUGCAACCCGACUUCGUGAAGCUGGAUUCGCUAGUAAUCGCGCAUCAGCCAUGGCGCGGUGAAUACGUUCCCGGGCCUUGUACACACCGCCCGUCAAGCCAUGAAAGCCGGGGGUACCUGAAGUACGUAACAGCAAGGAGCGUCCUAGGGUAAAACUGGUAAUUGGGGC